rnacentral:rRNA from 1 species
CCUACGGGCGGCAGCAGUGAGGAAUAUUGGUCAAUGGCCGGAAGGCUGAACCAGCCAAGUCGCGUGAAGGAUGACGGCCCUAUGGUUUGUAAACUUCUUUUAUACGGGAAUAACGCUAUCCACGUGUGGAUCUUUGCAUGUACCCUAUGAAUAAGCAUCGGCUAACUCCGUGCCAGCAGCCGCGGUAAUACGGAGGAUGCGAGCGUUAUCCGGAUUUAUUGGGUUUAAAGGGUGCGUAGGUUGUUUUUUAAGUGAGCUGUGAAAGUUUGUGGCUCAACCAUAAAAUUGCCGUUGAAACUGGAAGACGUGAGUGCGCUUGAGGUAGGCGGAAUGCGUGGUGUAGCGGUGAAAUGCAUAGAUAUCACGAAGAACUCCGAUUGCGAAGGCAGCUUACUAAGCCAUAACUGACACUGAAGCACGAAAGCGUGGGGAUCAAACAGGAUUAGAUACCCCAGUAGUC